CUCGCACUUCUUCCCGGUGAUUUCUUCCACCCCAGGCAAGCCACACCCUCCAUUUGCAUGAUUGCAAUGCAGUGACAUGUUUCUUUAUUUAAACUUGUUUAAAAUAUUGUUCUAGCUACUUGUGAUUUGUUCAUGGCAUUUCUCGGAGUAUUGUUUUGAUCUUGCUAUUGCCAUGAUAUUGCUUGGAGUUCUAGGACUUUUAUUUUGAUGAUUAUGUGGAUGACAUGUGCCUUUGGAUUCUUAGUGGCUAUUAUGAUUAUUUCCAUUAUGGUAUCUGUUAUUAUACUUUGGAAUAUUACUUUGGAUAUCAUGCUGCCUUUGGAUUAUUAGUGCUCAGUAUGAUUAUUUUCAUGAUGCUAGUUGAUGUUCUGUUGCUUGGAGUAUUAUUUUGGGAGAUGAUGUUUACAUGUGGAUCUUAGCCGAAUAGCUUUAUUCUUGUUAUUGGAGUAGUAGGAUUAUGGUUUUCGGAUUCAUCAUGACAGUAGUGGUGUGCUACUCUUGGAGUAUUUUCAGAUGACGAUAUUAUGCUUGGAUUAUUUGUUGGAUAUUGCUAUGACUUGGAUUCUAGGUUGAUAGAUGAUAUCGGAGUAUCAGUCUUUCCAGUUAUAUUUUUGGGGAUAAAUUCCGUCAUUAAGUUGGUCAGGUGCCACCGAACCGGGCUUUCUCCAGUGCAACCACAUUUGCCUUUAUGGGAAGGCCCUAAUGCGGUCUAUUGUCGUGCCUCUCGCCGGUGCCUCCAACUAGGGAAGGUUAUGGCGUGCGGUACCUUGGCCCGGUAAGCAAACAUAACCUUGUGUGCCCGUUGUUGUUGUUGUACCCGGGUUGUCCCUGUGUGGGACCAUUUAUUGUUUUGGCCACGACGGUGGCCGUUGUGUCUUUGGUAGACAUAGGGCCACCCAAGACUAACCCAGUGGGGAGUGAGUCGGAGUGGCCGGGAGAGUGUCAUGGCAGUAGAUCGGUUCUGUCGGAACGUCGUUGGUCCACCCGAAUGGGAGUGCGAGGCCAUGGGUUCCGUGGUGUGGUACAGUGCGCUACCUCUGCAGAGUGUAUACUAAAUCUAUCGAUAGCCGCGUCCUCGGUCAUGGGCAUGGGUUCGUACUAGGUCACACCGUUCGAUCAACACUCACAUGACGGAAUGACUUAUAGGUGAUUUAUAUGUUGAUAUGUUGAGCAGUACAGACUGGCAGGAUGUUGAUCAUGAUGUUGGAGACCAAGUGUUGGUCAUGGUAGUGAUCGCCUGAAAGAUCACAGUUUGGUUUUGAUCACGAGGUGAUCGAGAUGGUAUAUUGCUUCGCCGGUUAGCCAAGAGAGAUAUGGUUAUGGAGAUCUGAGAUGGUGAUUUAUCAGCAUUGUAGUAGUUUCAUAUCAUGCUUAGCAGUUGCUGUUGUAUCAUGGUAGAUGUUAAUUUAAUUAACCUGCUUAAUGCUAUGUUGUUGUUUUGCCUUGAUGCUUCUGGUUGUUAUGAGCUUGCAAGUACAUUCAAUGUACUGACCUGGCGUGUCAUGCCAGAUUGCAGGUGAUGCCAUGAUUGCUUGAUUGCUUGUCGAGGUUGCCGUGCGUGCGAGCUAGAUCGUGUCCCAGCCAGAGUCCCUGCGGAGUGGAGUUCACCACCUUCGUCGUUGUUCCGCUGCUAGAAGUAUUCCGCUGCUACGAGUUGUUCUGCUGCUAGCAUAGAGCAAGU
rnacentral:lncRNA from 1 species